AGGUCCCAAAGGAUCCAGAGAGCAUUGGUAAAGAAUGACAAAGCUUAAUGCGUGAACAACACAAGCAGGUGGUACAUAAAGCAACUGGCCUACGUCAAGAAGUGGGAAACAGACGGCAGAGGCGGAUGAUCCAGAUUUGAUUUAGAAGUGGAGAAGGCAGCAUCAUAACUCAGUAAACCCUGUGCACACUUGUUUGGUGGAAGCAGGACUCUGGCCUAGGAGACUUCACACGUCCAGGAAGCUUCUGUUCAGACUGGAGUUGUGAUUUGGGGAGCUAGAGUACCGAAGUCAGUUUGAAAAAGCUACAGAAAAUACCGCUAAUUCAAAUACUGG